rnacentral:lncRNA from 1 species
UUCUCACACCAAGUUUGAACUACGCGGUUUAACUUCCAAAAGUGAAAGUUCGGGAACAAGGUAUAUGCUAUGACUUUUAUAAAGAUCAACAAGGAAAGCUCGACGAAGUUGGAGAUAGGAUGGUAGGACCUUUGGUGGAACGUCGGUCAAAGCUAUUUUGGAAUUGGAUUUGAAACUUGACCGAUCGUCUACUCGAUUUUGGCACAUCCUCUGCUCAAAAUCAGAAGAAGUGUUGUGAGUAGAAGGUGUUCAACUUAAAAAGUUAUACCACUUUUAUAUUGGUCAAAAUUUAAGUUCUUCUUUAAAAAUUGUUUUUAUUUACUUCACAAGUUAUUUUCAACAGGAGGGAGUUUUUAACACUUGGUUCGAAAACUGAAGUAUUUUUGGACCUUAACUCUCAGCAAUAUGGAGUUAGCUUUGAUUUGCUUCUUAAUCACCCUGUUGAUUAUUUGGUUUAGGUUCUUAAUUACUCGGAUUGUCACAGCCUACCCUCCUUAAAGAGAAUCUCAUCCCGAGAUUCGAGCGAAGGAAAAGGAAGGUGGACAUGGGGGAUGACAAGGAAUUUAGAAACAAAAUCCCUGACAGCUUAUCAUUAAUCGGAUCCAACCAUGGAGUUUUUCUCAGCAGUCUUGAACCAAUUGAUAGGAUUUCGGAGGUCAUUAUAUAGAGUGUUCAUAUGUGGCUCAAGUGAGAAAGAUCUAGCGAUGAGAGAAAGAUCGAAUAUAAAAAGGAUCGGGGUUUGAAAUAUUGGAGGAGAACACAUGCACCAAGUGUUGAGAAUGAUAAAGAUGGCAUAGUCAAUUCUUGGACAGCAAGCAGAUUACUUGAGCUUGGCUCCACUACAAGGAUUUGACCCUUUUAGCACCACUUGUUUUCGCAACACCACACAUUUGGUUGCAAUAUUUGGUUCUAUGGCAACCAACGGCAUAAUUGGUAGCGAUAUAUGGGCCUAAUGGCCACAAAAAUUGUGUGUUGCAUUAGUUAUAAGCUCUGUUGCAAGACGGAGGCGCUAAUGCUACAGUGGAAAAGGUGGUUGCGAGUAUAGGUUCCUAUUGCCAUGACUAGUGUUGAGUUGUGAUAAUAUUGAUUUUGUGUUGUGAUAGCUAGGCGUUGUUGCUACCAUUGUAAAGUUGGUUGCAAGUAGCUGUGCAUAUGGCCACGGUGUAAUUACAUCGUCUCAAUCUUGACCUGGGUUGCAAAAGCUAUUGCUAUAUUGCAUCCAAAAAAAGAUUAGUUGUAAGUAGUUGUGAAUAUGGCCACGAUGAAACUGUGUUGCUUUAAUCUUG